GUGGUCGUAGCUCAAUUUGGUAGAGCUCCUGAUUGUGGAUCAGGCGGUUACGGGUUCGAGUCCCGUCGAUCACC
rnacentral:tRNA from 1 species